AGAGUUUGAUCCUGGCUCAGGACGAACGCUGGCGGCGUGCUUAACACAUGCAAGUCGAACGAGACGAUUGAAAGCUUGCUUUUGAAAGUCGAGUGGCAAACGGGUGAGUAACGCGUAGACAACCUGCCGUAAAGAUGGGGACAACAGUCCGAAAGGACUGCUAAUACCGAAUGUUGUGGAACUUCCGCAUGGGAGCUCUACUAAAGAUGGCCUCUACUUGUAAGCUAUCGCUUUACGAUGGGUCUGCGUCUGAUUAGCUAGUUGGUGGGGUAACGGCCUACCAAGGCGACGAUCAGUAGCCGGUCUGAGAGGAUGAACGGCCACAUUGGAACUGAGACACGGUCCAGACUCCUACGGGAGGCAGCAGUGGGGAAUCUUCCGCAAUGGGCGCAAGCCUGACGGAGCAACGCCGCGUGAGUGAAGAAGGGUUUCGACUCGUAAAGCUCUGUUGUCGGGGACGAAUGUGGAGGUUGUGAAUAACAGCUUCCAAUGACGGUACCUGACGAGGAAGCCACGGCUAACUACGUGCCAGCAGCCGCGGU
rnacentral:rRNA from 1 species